rnacentral:rRNA from 1 species
GACGAACGCUGGCGGCGUGCCUAAUACAUGCAAGUCGAGCGGACCACUUCGGUGGUCAGCGGCGGACGGGUGAGUAACACGUGGGCAACCUGCCUGUAAGACUGGGAUAACACCGGGAAACCGGUGCUAAUACCGGAUAAUCCUUUCCUUCACAUGAAGGGAAGCUGAAAGACGGUUUCGGCUGUCACUUACAGAUGGGCCCGCGGCGCAUUAGCUAGUUGGUGAGGUAACGGCUCACCAAGACAACGAUGCGUAGCCGACCUGAGAGGGUGAUCGGCCACACUGGGACUGAGACACGGCCCAGACUCCUACGGGAGGCAGCAGUAGGGAAUCUUCCGCAAUGGACGAAAGUCUGACGGAGCAACGCCGCGUGAGCGAUGAAGGCCUUCGGGUCGUAAAGCUCUGUUGUCAGGGAAGAACAAGUACCGGAGUAACUGCCGGUACCUUGACGGUACCUGACCAGAAAGCCACGGCUAACUACGUGCCAGCAGCCGCGGUAACAC